rnacentral:piRNA from 1 species
UGGAUUAAGGGGUCGCUAUGGUCUAGAGC